UCCAAGUAUGGGAGUCUACUGUGUGCUGU
rnacentral:piRNA from 1 species